rnacentral:lncRNA from 1 species
AUUUAUAUUGACAAAAAUAUAUAUUUUCAGUAUUGCUGUAGACAAACAUCUACAUAAGACUGUUCAAUGAUUGUUGUUUUAUAUCACACAACUUUUAUAAUACUCAUUUUUAUUGUUACAAUAUUUUAUAAAUUUUAAAGAAUAUGAUAAACAAAAUAUAUUGCAGGUUUUGAAGAGGGGCUCUCCAGGAGGAGUUGGGGUACAAAAGGGAAAGAAGAAUGUGAUGUAAGUCUAUUUACUCAAAAUAUGGUUUUAAAUGUUAACAAAUUCAGAUAAAUUGAAAUUAUAUAUCUUUUCUCAUCAUAAUGCAAUAAAACUUAAAUCAAAGGGAAAAAGAAAAAGAAAAGGCCUAAGGAUAGGCAGAUACAGUAUUUUAGUUUACUUCUUUUAUUUUGGAUUGUUUUAAUUUUCAAAAUGAGUGUGAUGUUGAGUUUUGUAGUUAUAUUAUUCCCCUGGGAGAGAGGUCAAAAUAAAGGUUUUUUGUUACUGGUUCAAGUUU